AAACCAACAGGGAUUGCCUUAGUAACGGCGAGUGAAGCGGCAAGAGCUCAAAUUUGAAAUCUGGUACCUUCGGUGCCCGAGUUGUAAUUUGAAGAAGGUAUUCUUGAUUCUGGCCUUUAUCUAUGUUCCUUGGAACAGGACGUCACAGAGGGUGAGAAUCCCGUGCGAUGAGGUGUCCAGUUUUAUGUAAGAUUCCUUCGAAGAGUCGAGUUGUUUGGGAAUGCAGCUCUAAGUGGGUGGUAAAUUCCAUCUAAAGCUAAAUAUUGGCGAGAGACCGAUAGCGAACAAGUACAGUGAUGGAAAGAUGAAAAGAACUUUGAAAAGAGAGUGAAAAAGUACGUGAAAUUGCUGAAAGGGAAGGGUUUUAGAUCAGACUUGGUAUUUAACAAUCAUUCUCUCUUUGAGGGUUUGCUCUUGUUUUUUACUGGGCCAGCAUCGGUUUGGGUGGCAGGAUAAUGACAUUGGAACGUGGCACCCCUCGGGGUGUGUUAUAGCCUUUGUUGAUACUGCCUACCUAGACCGAGGACUGCGUUUUUUAACUAGGAUGCUGGCGUAAUGAUCUAAAACCGC
rnacentral:rRNA from 1 species